GUGUAAGGUUGUCUUGAAAAAAUUCUCCAAGAUAGAAUGACAUGUCAAUGCAUUAAUAAACUACGAUUUAAUUAAAGUUAAAAUCCUGCAACUGGUUUAUUCUUUGGAUUCUUUGUAUUUAUUGCCGACAGCACCAAGCUCCCCUGCUGAGUGGCGUUGCUAUCAGGUGCCGUGAGGUGCAGCAAUUAUCCUCCCUCAUUAAGGACCUGGUCGGAUCAUUGCUUCCUCCUCCUAUAAGACAUACUGGUACAGAAGGAGUAGAGGGCCCUGCUUUUAUCACACAUUUAGAACAAUAUAUCAGGCGUAAACUACUUGGAGG